rnacentral:rRNA from 1 species
UACGUAGGGGCAAGCGUUGUCCGGAAUCAUUGGGCGUAAAGAGCGUGUAGGCGGCCUGAUAAGUCGGCUGUGAAAGUCAAGGGCUCAACCCUUGAAUGCCGGCCGAUACUGUCAGGCUAGAGUCCGGAAGAGGCGAGUGGAAUUCCUGGUGUAGCGGUGAAAUGCGCAGAUAUCAGGAGGAACACCGAUGGCGAAGGCAGCUCGCUGGGACGGUACUGACGCUGAGACGCGAAAGCGUGGGGAGCAAACAGG